rnacentral:lncRNA from 1 species
UUCGAACCCCACUGAGCCCACUGCUCUUCAAAAUUUUGGGCCAAGAACCAUGGCUCAACAUCCUACCCAACCCACUUCCUCACAAAAUACCCAAACAAAACCCACAAAUAAAUUUUCCUAUAUCAAAUCCAAGCCCACCAGAACCAAAUCCAACAAACACCAGCCCAAUCGAACCAAAUGUCAUCAGCCAACAAGACCAUAUUUCACCAGCCCAAUCGAACCAAAAUCAGAACCCUCAAACAGAAACCACU